GCGGGUGUUCGGCUACGUCACUGGGGCGCUACGGUUCCUGGAGCUGGGCAGUCUUCUCGUCAGAGUGGGGACUGGUAAGAGCGACCUCCCCGCCAGGUCCUGUGUGUUGCCGGCUGAAGAAGGGUGAUGAUGAUUAUUCCCCACCUUCUAAGAGACAAAGACCAACGAGCCACCACAGCCACCAGUCCCAGAACCCGCCAAUGCUGGGGAAUGGAAAAUGAGGGAGUUCAACUCUGGGCCCUCACAAUCCAGUGGAGGAGACGAAACUCAUCUGCCUCUGUCCCUCUGGGCACACCUCAUGCCAGGUGCAUCUGUGGACAGGGGCCAUGCUCCUGGGCUUCCAAAGUUGGAGAAAGCUGCCAGGCUCAGACCCACCUAAGCUGAAGAUUCCCUUGAGAACAAGUACUGUCCUGUGGUUUCAUGGCCUUUCUUCCAUUUGUGGUAAGAUGGAUAAACCCUAGUUUCCCAGUGCUGGAAUAUAGAAAAUGGAUGGACAAGUAAAUCCCACUCAGUACCCAUAGGCCAGGCAUGGGGACCUCAACACACCUGAGCCCCAGACAUCACCUUUCAUUGU
rnacentral:lncRNA from 1 species